rnacentral:rRNA from 1 species
GACGAACGCUGGCGGCGUGCCUAAUACAUGCAAGUUGAGCGCUGAAGGUUGGUACUUGUACCAACUGGAUGAGCAGCGAACGGGUGAGUAACGCGUGGGGGAUCUGCCUUUGAGCGGGGGACAACAUUUGGAAACGAAUGCUAAUACCGCAUAAAAACUUUAAACACAAGUUUUAAGUUUGAAAGAUGCAAUUGCAUCACUCAAAGAUGAUCCCGCGUUGUAUUAGCUAGUUGGUGAGGUAAAGGCUCACCAAGGCGAUGAUACAUAGCCGACCUGAGAGGGUGAUCGGCCACAUUGGGACUGAGACACGGCCCAAACUCCUACGGGAGGCAGCAGUAGGGAAUCUUCGGCAAUGGACGAAAGUCUGACCGAGCAACGCCGCGUGAGUGAAGAAGGUUUUCGGAUCGUAAAACUCUGUUGGUAGAGAAGAACGUCGGUGAGAGUGGAAAGCUCAUCAAGUGACGGUAACUACCCAGAAAGGGACGGCUAACUACGUG